AGUGAACGCUGGCGGUAGGCCUAACACAUGCAAGUCGAACGGCAGCACAGUAAGAGCUUGCUCUUACGGGUGGCGAGUGGCGGACGGGUGAGGAAUACAUCGGAAUCUACUUUUUCGUGGGGGAUAACGUAGGGAAACUUACGCUAAUACCGCAUACGACCUACGGGUGAAAGCAGGGGAUCUUCGGACCUUGCGCGAUUGAAUGAGCCGAUGUCGGAUUAGCUAGUUGGCGGGGUAAAGGCCCACCAAGGCGACGAUCCGUAGCUGGUCUGAGAGGAUGAUCAGCCACACUGGAACUGAGACACGGUCCAGACUCCUACGGGAGGCAGCAGUGGGGAAUAUUGGACAAUGGGCGCAAGCCUGAUCCAGCCAUACCGCGUGGGUGAAGAAGGCCUUCGGGUUGUAAAGCCCUUUUGUUGGGAAAGAAAAGCAGCAGGUUAAUACCCCGCUGUUCUGACGGUACCAAAAGAAUAAACACCGGCUAACUUCGU
rnacentral:rRNA from 1 species